GAGGGGCGUCGACCGGCGCACGGGUGAGUAACGCGUAUCCAACCUGCCCACCACUUGGGGAUAACCUUGCGAAAGUAAGACUAAUACCCAAUGACGUCUCUAGAGGACAUCUGAAAGGGAUUAAAGAUUUAUCGGUGAUGGAUGGGGAUGCGUCUGAUUAGCUUUGUUGGCGGGGUAACGGCCCACCAAGGCGACGAUCAGUAGGGGUUCUGAGAGGAAGGUCCCCCACAUUGGAACUGAGACACGGUCCAAACUCCUACGGGAGGCAGCAGUGAGGAAUAUUGGUCAAUGGACGAGAGUCUGAACCAGCCAAGUAGCGUGCAGGAUGACGGCCCUAUGGGUUGUAAACUGCUUUUAUAAGGGAAUAAAGUGAGUCUCGUGAGACUUUUUGCAUGUACCUUAUGAAUAAGGACCGGCUAAUUCCGUGCCAGCAGCCGCGGUAAUACGGAAGGUCCGGGCGUUAUCCGGAUUUAUUGGGUUUAAAGGGAGCGUAGGCCGGAGAUUAAGCGUGUUGUGAAAUGUAGAUGCUCAACAUCUGCACUGCAGCGCGAACUGGUUUCCUUGAGUACGCACAAAGUGGGCGGAAUUCGUGGUGUAGCGGUGAAAUGCUUAGAUAUCACGAAGAACUCCGAUUGCGAAGGCAGCUCACUGGAGCGCAACUGACGCUGAAGCUCGAAAGUGCGGGUAUCGAACAGGAUUAGAUACCCUGGUAGUCCGCACGGUAAACGAUGGAUGCCCGCUGUUGGUCUGAAUAGGUCAGCGGCCAAAGCGAAAAGCAUUAAGCAUCCCACCUGGGGAGU
rnacentral:rRNA from 1 species